UUAGAAAUGUAAGGCAUAGUAACAUAAUCUAUUCCUCAUAACCGAGGGUGCCAACAGCAAAACACGACAUUCCCCUUCACCUGGUUAUUAUGUUACAGACCAGGACUUGGUGGUAUGAGUUAUGGGUUAUGGACUGGCGCUCAAGCCCAGACGAUCGCUGAACAAUAUUCCAAAGGCAGUUUACGUCGGAAUUCUCCAAGUUUUUAGUUAUCUAUGAAUUCACCGUUUAGCAUGAAAGGGCCAGCAUUAAUUUGCCUCACAAUGGAUGAGUGUUUGUAAGCAGGGGAAAUGUAAGGUUAGAACAGUCUUCCAAUUAAGUAUAUUGCUGACUGCAACAAGGAAACGACUUUUAAAUGCACUGUUCUCAGAGUAUAGUAUUACGUAUUCCUACAGGUCUUUGUAAAAGUCUAAUUAUAAAACGACAUGGAACACAAAAUAGCACUUCAAAGCAACGUUUAUCGGCCGAUUACUGCUUGAACUUGGUUAGACAACAUGACUAUGAAAACUUUCUGUGCACACUGUUGUUACCAAGCCAUAGUCGAACAUCGGCUUUUGCUAUUAGAGCAUUUAAUAUCGAGGUAGCAAAAGUGCAAGAUCAAGUUAGUGAUCCUCAUAUUGGGCAAAUGAGAAUGAAAUUUUGGGAGGAAACUGUUGACAAAAUAUAUGUUGAUCAUGCUCCGAGUCAUCCAGUCGCUGUAGAACUUCAUCAUGCCAUCAGAAGACGCAGACUUUCCAAAAGAUAUUUGAAACGUCUUAUUACAGUCAGAGCCGACCACUUAAGAUCUGCAGUAUUUCCUGACCUGGAGGCAGUGGAAUCCUACGCUGAACAUUCAGUGUCAUCUGUCUAUUACCUCUUAUUGGAAGCAUCUGGUGUGGAGAGCAUUCAUGCCGAUCAUGCUGCCAGUCAUCUGGGAAAGGCUCACGGCAUUGUCAAUCUGAUCCGAUCUGUUCCAUUCAAUGCCCCAAGGAAGAUAGUGUCUCUGCCUCAAGAUGUGUUGCUGCAACAUAACGUACCACACGAGACAGUGCUACGAGCCAAGUGCACUGCAGACCUGAAGGAAGCUGUUUUUGAUGUUGCAGCAAGAGCUAAGCAGCACCUUAACAAGUUUCUAGGGCCACCGAUAGAUGGCAGCACGAUCUGGGCAGAACCGUGACGCGCAGAGAGAGAGAGAGAUGGAUGAUCGUGUUCUGCACUUACGUAAAGAAUAUCGGGAAGAAUUUAUGCCAUUACCUGAAUGAUGACUGAGAUGAGACAAGACUUGCUGUCAGAAGUUUUAUGGGCCUCUCUUCGUAAUUUUUGUGUAUGAACUUAUUUUCUACUUCUUCUAAGAGUUCGUCUAUGUCCUCUUCCAUAAUACACGCAUAUAGAAAAACAAGUAACGUGAGUGAACAACUUUAAAGAAAAUCACUGAAGAAUGUUGAAUUGCGUAUAAUGUUGUAUGUAAGAACUGCACUGUUUGGUUACUACGAAUCACCCACAUACACUUCUUAGAGCAGUGUUGCCAACAAGAGGGCGAAGUGUUAUUCAGAAGUUUGAACGCGACUAAUUAACUGACAUUUCACUUCUUGUGUGUGUUUGAGGUUAUCACGGCUGGGGAUGUGUUGAUGUGAAAAUGUAGGCAGAAUUACAAUCCAGAAGGUUAACGUCGACAACAGACGCGUUUCGUUUAUGAAAUAUCGGUGGGAUUUUAUUACAUGUAGUCCGCAACAAUGUCAGUAAUACUUUGACGUAUAUCUUGCGUGCCUGUUGAAAAGUAUGUAUUUCAUUGCACGCCUGUUUGUCAGUUUUGUUUUCCUCAAAAAUUAUGACGGCAAAUUUCCGAAGCAGUUUGUAUCGUUGCACAUGGAACUUCCCGCAGACAGUACUGCGUUUUCGUUCGUUUGAUCAAUACUACGCGGUUGAAAGUAUAUUCGACUCAGUUGGGCGACUGUGCAGAAGUGAUCUAUUUCUAGACACGUAACGUAAAUAAUAGAUUACUUUGGCUGAAUAAAUGGACAAAUCAAAAGUGAAUUCAUAUCACUGGUCGAUCGUUCGUCAUUGAUCUAUUUAGACGUUUGGUAGGACUCCUUCGAGGAGUGAUCAGCCCGUCGUAACACAGAAAGACGCUAAUAAACAUCCAUGCCUUGAGUGGGAUUCGAACCCACGGUCCCAUUGUUCAAAUGCACAUGGCCCACGCCUCAGACCGUGUGGCCACUGUGACCGACAUUUGCAGAUCCUCUACGACAUAAAAUUCAUUAAUGUCAUUGCAAUGAAUUGAUAAUUAUAGGGAUAUGAAGCUA